AGCAUUAUCAUUAUCAUUAUCAUUAUUAUGUUUAUCCGAUCCCAGGACCUGAACCUUUUUCUCCAGUUCUUAGGGCAAGAAGAAGGAACCUUGGGGCGAGAGCACUGUCUUCAUAAUUGUUCAAAGAUUUCGACCUGCAUACAAGAAUCACAUAAAAGGCAGUUGCGUAUGUGUAAGACUUUGUUAUGUCAUCUGUUGUCAAGAGGAGAAGAGGCUGGAAAUUGACAGGAAAUCCAAGGCAAAUGAGCAUUUGACCUCAAUACAAAAUUGUAUUUUUUCUGGUAAGUAUAGACAAAUCUGUCAUAUGCACUUUCUUUCACAUUUGAAUAUCUGCACUAAAUAUGAAGACUUUUUGGCAAAUUUCAGUCAGUAUUUUCAAAUAAAAACAAACUGAAAUAAUAUUUGCAUCCAUCUG